rnacentral:rRNA from 1 species
AGAGUUGAUCCUGGCUCAGGAUGAACGCUGGCGGCGUGCCUAAUACAUGCAAGUCGUACGAGGGAAGUCCAGCUUGCUGGGCGGAACGAGUGGCGAACGGGUGAGUAAUACGUAAGCAACCUGCCUGCAAGGACUGGGAUAACACCUGGAAACGGGCGCUAAUACCGGAUAGGUAACAAAGGGGCAUCCCUAUGUUAUUAAAGGUUAGAAACACAAGCAGAUGGGCUUACGGUGCAUUAGCUAGUUGGUGAGGUAACGGCCCACCAAGGCGAUGAUGCAUAGCCGGCCUGAGAGGGUGAACGGCCACAUUGGGACUGAGACACGGCCCAGACUCCUACGGGAGGCAGCAGUAGGGAAUUUUCGGCAAUGGACGAAAGUCUGACCGAGCAACGCCGCGUGAAGUGAAGAAGGUUUUCGGAUUGUAAAGCUCUGUUGUAAGGGAAGAACAGCACGGAAAGAAUCCGUGAAUGACGGUACCUUACCAGAAAGCCACGGCUAACUACGUGCCAGCAGCUGC